rnacentral:rRNA from 1 species
UACGUAGGGGGCAAGCGUUGUCCGGAAUUACUGGGCGUAAGAGCUCGUAGGUGGUUUGUCGCGUUGUUCGUGAAAACUCACAGCUUAACUGUGGGCGUGCGGGCGAUACGGGCAGACUGGAGUACUGCAGGGGAGACUGGAAUUCCUGGUGUAGCGGUGAAAUGCGUAGAUAUCGGGAGGAACACCUGCGGUGUAGACGGCUUACUGGACCGUGACUGACGCUGAGGCACGAAAGCGUGGGUAGCAAACAGG